rnacentral:tRNA from 1 species
GGAGGGGCAUGGCUCAGUGGGAGGGCAUCUGAUUUGCAUGCAGAAGGCCCCAGGUUCAAUCCUCAGCACCUCCA